rnacentral:rRNA from 1 species
CCCUACGGGGUGCAGCAGGCUGAGUUCGUUGCCCAGCGCAUCCUCGAACUGAGGGACGAAGGUGUUCCGCUUCACCAGAUCGCUGUCCUCUACCGCGCCCACUAUCACAGCAUGGAAUUACAGAUGGAGAUGACCCGCCGGGAUAUUCCGUACGAAAUACGGAGCGGGCUGAGGUUUUUCGAACAGGCACACAUCAAGGACGUCGUCUCCUUUUUACGGGUCAUGGUCAACCCCGAAGACGAACUGUCGUGGCUCAGAAUGUUCGCCUUGUUUCCGAGGGUCGGGAAAAAAACUGCCGAACGUAUCCUCACCGUGAUGAAGACAUCGGAACAGCCUGUCGACAUGCUUGUAUCAAAGGAAUUGGCGGGGGGGC